GAGAGAGAGAGAGAGAGAAGAGGAUAAACAAUAAGCAGUAAAAGCUAAUAUUUCCAAGAAUAGAAGGUAGGAGAAAGGCAGCAAAUGGCUCAAAUCACUUCUUACAAAUGGACAACUGGACAUGGUUGCUGAACAAGACCAAUGGUAUCUCUAAAGUCAAAGAACCAUCAUGCAAUUGUUCUUAACCACAAAGGUCAUUAAUUACCCCACACACAAUUAAGAAAAAUUAUACAAUGAAACCGAUGUAUGUACAACGGUUUCAUUGUAACCGUUGAUUGUGAUGGGUUUCAUCAGGAUCAAUGAUUAUAAUUAAACCAUUGUAGUUACAACAAAUAAAAAUUCCACAAUUAAGGCAAUGGUAAGUUGGCAAAUGUCACGAUUUCAUAUAAUAAUUAUAUUCAAUGCCAUUGUUGAUGUGCCCAUUAUAUUCAAUGGAUGAUAGCACCAAAUACAAAGAGGAGAUCAGCAGAAAAAGAGAUAAACUAGUAAGAUCAGGCCCUUUUUUACUUUUCCUUUUUGGUGCAAUGGCUGAACUAUACAACAAAGGGUAAAAAUGCUCCCUUGAACCUAAUAUAUCUAGUGUAAGCACCAUAUCAGCCAGGUUUCUUCAGACAACACCAUGUGACUAUGCUAACUUUAAUAGCUAAACUAUCCAAAUGCCACCAUUGUUUUACAACACCAUAGAUAUUGCAGUAGAAAUGGAUUAGCUGAUCUUUGACAUUAAAAAACCAUAUAGAGGGCUAAUUUGAUCAUUUUACCCAGAAUUCAAAACUAGUGACAAAGCUUCACAAAACCAAUCUUAUAAGCAGCUGUAGGUAUGAGAAGAUUAAAGAUGCCUUGUUUUAAAUAUUCUGAUAGUGCAGCGAAAGAAUUUGUUUAAAAAAAAAUUCCUGAAUCUACCUUAAUUCUUAUGAAUCCUAGUUGGCACAGAAUUACAUCUAAGAAGUAGCUAGCUGAACUUCGACAUUAGUUCUCCAAUAUUUAAGUUUGAUGGCAACAAAGUUAAUAAAAUGUCCCUUUCAAAAAUACAGUCAUAUCAAAGAUAGCUCUAUGUGUACCCACAUUAGAUACUACUGAAGCUAUCAUUUUCCUGUUGAUUAACAUAUCAAAGAAACCAACAAAUGAAGCUGGUAUAGUGGAGUGCAUAAAAGUAACUAACAAAGAUAACACAAAGCAUAAAGGUAGACUAUCUCACCGAGUAUGUGAGGAGAGUUUCCA
rnacentral:misc_RNA from 1 species